rnacentral:rRNA from 1 species
UAUUUGCGGAAGUUUUCGGAUGGAAGCGGAUGCGACUUAGCGGCGGACGGGUGAGUAACGCGUGGGUAACCUGCCUCAUACAGGGGGAUAACAGUUAGAAAUGACCGCUAAUACCGCAUAAGCGCACAGGACCGCAUGGUCCGGUGUGAAAAACUCCGGUGGUAUGAGAUGGACCCGCGUCUGAUUAGCUGGUUGGCGGGGUAACGGCCCACCAAGGCGACGAUCAGUAGCCGACCUGAGAGGGUGGCCGGCCACAUUGGGACUGAGACACGGCCCAAACUCCUACGGGAGGCAGCAGUGGGGAAUAUUGCACAAUGGGGGAAACCCUGAUGCAGCAACGCCGCGUGAGUGAAGAAGUAUUUCGGUAUGUAAAGCUCUAUCAGCAGGGAAGAAAAAAGACGGUACCUGACUAAGAAGCCCCGGCUAACUACGUGCCAGCAGCCGCGGUAAUACGUAGGGGGCAAGCGUUAUCCGGAUUUACUGGGUGUAAAGGGAGCGUAGACGGCAUAGCAAGUCUGAAGUGAAAGCCCGUGGCUCAACCGCGGAACUGCUUUGGAAACUGUUAAGCUGGAGUACUGGAGAGGCAAGCGGAAUUCCUAGUGUAGCGGUGAAAUGCGUAGAUAUUAGGAGGAACACCAGUGGCGAAGGCGGCUUGCUGGACAGAGACUGACGUUGAGGCUCGAAAGCGUGGGGAGCAAACAGGAUUAGAUACCCUGGUAGUCCACGCGGUAAACGAUGAAUGCUAGGUGUUGGCGGGCAAAGCCCGUCGGUGCCGCCGCAAACGCAUUAAGCAUUCCACCUGGGGAGUACGUUCGCAAGAAUGAAACUCAAAAGAAUUGACGGGAACCCGCACAAGCG